GACAGAGGGUGCAAACGUUGUUCGGAAUUACUGGGCGUAAAGCGAGUGUAGGCGGUUUGGUAAGUCGGAUGUGAAAGCCCUGGGCUCAACCCAGGAAGUGCACUCGAAACUGCCGAGCUAGAGUAUCGGAGAGGUUGGUGGAAUUCUAGGUGUAGAGGUGAAAUUCGUAGAUAUCGAGAGGAACACCGGUGGCGAAGGCGGCCAACUGGACGAAUACUGACGCUGAGACUAGAAAGCGUGGGGAGCAAACAGG
rnacentral:rRNA from 1 species